AAGGAUUUAAGUUAAUUAAACUAAUAACCUUCAAAGUUAUAAAUAAAGAGUACUUUCUUUAAGCCUUA
rnacentral:tRNA from 1 species